rnacentral:rRNA from 1 species
GAGUUUGAUCGUGGCUCAGAAUGAACGCUGGCGGCGUGCUUCAGACAUGCAAGUCGUACGAGAAAACCCUUUCGGGGGUUAGUAAAGUGGCGCACGGGUGAGUAAUACUUAGGUAAUGUAUCUCUUCGCUGGGGAUAACAAGGCGAAAGCUUUGCUAAUACCGAAUGAUCCCACAGUUUCUGCGGAUUCUGUGGGCAAAGCCGUAAGGCGCGAAGAGCGCAGCCUGAGUCCCAUUAGUUAGUUGGUGAGGUAAAGGCUCACCAAGACUAGGAUGGGUAGCUGGUCUGAGAGGAUGAUCAGCCACACUGGUACUGGAACACGGACCAGACUCCUACGGGAGGCAGCAGUUAGGAAUUUUGCGCAAUGGGGGAAACCCUGACGCAGCAACGCCGCGUGAGUGAUGAAGGCCUUCGGUGUAAGCUCUUUGCCAGGGAAGAAACAAAUAGACGGUACCUGGUGAAUAAGCACCGGCUAACUCUGUGCC